CAAACACGACUCAGCCCAGGGCAAGCUGUUGAGAAGCCAUGGAGAUGUUCCGCCUCAUUUCAACAAUUAGUGGAUUAUCCUUAUGCCAUUUGAUUAUCUUUGUUAUAGCCUUGUGCGCUUUACUGAAGCCUAAUUCCCGCUGAUUUCAAUGGCAAAUAAGAGCACUCCCAGAUUUGGAUUUGCCAGCUGAAAUGUGAAGGUGACAUGGAGCAGAGGGGUGAUGAACAGCCCAACAAACCAGGGGUGAAGGCAGCAUCUUUCCCUGCAUGGCCCUUCCCAUAACAGGCUUCUGGGAGGAACACAAAGGCACUUCCAGAGGAGCAUAGCUCUUGGUUUUAGGACAUCUCUGCUUUGCUGAUCAACAUGCCAGUGCCUUCUUCAGUGGAACAACACUCCUUUAUCCUGGAGAGAAUCUGUCCCAAAAGACUGAGGAGAGAUUCCUGCUUUGCAGAGGAGACUUCUGAGCUGCUCAGAACAAGAGAAUUCUGGCAGAGGCAGAUCGUGCAAACCUCGAAUAUCUCCUAAAUUCUGUAGCUUCUACUCCAUCCCAGCAGGGGAGAGAUCAAAAUCUGGGUAUGCCCACACAGACUUUUGCCCUCACAGCCACAUUUUUUACAAGUGAUGGAGUACAUAUCAUUGCAUGGUGUUGCUGCUCAUGGGCUUCACAGGUAGGUUUUUAAAGUUAUUUUUGUGUUAGAAAUAACAACA
rnacentral:lncRNA from 1 species